rnacentral:lncRNA from 7 species
CAAAAGUCUAUGUUUGUUUCCAUUUUGUUCAAUCAGUACCCUUAUAAAUAUUGAGAAUUGUCUAAUUAAAUCAUUCAAACUACUUAAUAAUAUAAGGUGUGAACAUUAAUUCGAGCCAUGAGGCUUGAUGGCGAUUUUUUUUUUGCAAAUUUAAAUACUAUAGACAUACUGUUGGGAGGUUAUCUUUCUGAAGAUCUUCAAAAUCACCUUACCUUGGCCGAGAAGAAAUGAAUUUCAGGCAUGUAACAAAGAAUGGCCGAAGACAACCUUCGAGCGAAGCAUCAUGCGAAGAAGCUCCAUCAAAACAUAAGAGCGACGAAG